rnacentral:tRNA from 1 species
GCGGACGUGGCGGAAUUGGUAGACGCGCUGUCUUCAGGCGGCAGUGUCCUUUAGACGUGGGGGUUCGAGUCCCCCCGUCCGCA